rnacentral:rRNA from 1 species
UACGUAGGGUGCAAGCGUUGUCCGGAAUUAUUGGGCGUAAAGAGCUCGUAGGCGGUUUGUCGCGUCGAAUGUGAAAACCCGGGGCUCAACCCCGGGCCUGCAUUCGAUACGGGCAGACUAGAGUUCGGUAGGGGAGUCUGGAAUUCCUGGUGUAGCGGUGAAAUGCGCAGAUAUCAGGAGGAACACCGGUGGCGAAGGCGGGACUCUGGGCCGAUACUGACACUGAGGCGCGAAAGCGUGGGGAGCGAACAGG